rnacentral:rRNA from 1 species
CCCUUAGAUGUUCUGGGCCGCACGCGCGCUACACUGACGAUGGCAACGAGUUUUUCCUUCGCCGAAAGGUGUGGGUAAUCUUUUGAAACAUCGUCGUGCUGGGGAUAGAUCAUUGCAAUUUUUGAUCUUGAACGAGGAAUUCCUAGUAAGCGCGAGUCAUCAGCUCGCGUUGAUUACGUCCCUGCCCUUUGUACACACCGCCCGUCGCUACUACCGAUUGAAUGGUUUAGUGAGGACUCCUGAUUGGCGCCGCCGCCCCGGCAACGGAGCAGCAGACUGCCGAAAAGUUGUUCAAACUUGAUCAUUUAGAGGAAGUAAAAGUCGUAACA